UGACGGGGCCCGCACAGCGGUGGAGCAUGUGGUUUAAUCGAAGCAACGCGAAGAACCUUACCAGGCCUUGACAUGCAGAGAACUUUCCAGAGAUGGAUUGGUGCCUUCGGGAACUCUGACACAGGUGCUGCAUGGCUGUCGUCAGCUCGUGUCGUGAGAUGGUUGGGUUAAGUCCCGUAACGAGCGCAACCCUUGUCCUUAGUUACCAGCACGUUAUGGUGGGCACUCUAAGGAGACUGCCGGUGACAAACCGGAGGAAGGUGGGGAUGACGUCAAGUCAUCAUGGCCCUUACGGCCUGGGCUACACACGUGCUACAAUGGUCGGUACAAAGGGUUGCCAAGCCGCGAGGUGGAGCUAAUCCCAUAAAACCGAUCGUAGUCCGGAUCGCAGUCUGCAACUCGACUGCGUGAAGUCGGAAUCGCUAGUAAUCGUGAAUCAGAAUGUCACGGUGAAUACGUUCCCGGGCCUU
rnacentral:rRNA from 1 species